rnacentral:rRNA from 1 species
GAUGCACGCUGGCGGCGUGCCUAAUACAUGCAAGUCGUACGGAAAGGCCCUUCGGGGUACUCGAGUGGCGGACGGCUGAGUAACGCGUGGGAACGUGCCCCAAAGUGAGGGAUAACGCACCGAAAGGUGUGCUAAUACCGCACAUGGUCUUCGGAUUACAGCUUCGGCGCUUUGGGAGCGGCCCGCGUACGAUUAGAUAGUUGGGGAGGUAAUGGCUCACCAAGUCGACGAUCGUUAGCUGGUCUGAGAGGAUGAUCAGCCAGACUGGGACUGAGACACGGCCCAGACUCCUACGGGAGGCAGCAGUAAGGAAUCUUCCACAAUGGGGGCAACCCUGAUGGAGCAGCGCCGCGUGCAGGAUGAAGGUUUUCGGAUCGUAAACUGCUUUUAUAAGUGAAGAAUAUGACGGUAACUUAUGAAUAAGGAUCGGCUAACUACGUGCCAGCCGCCGCGGUAA